rnacentral:misc_RNA from 1 species
GAUGAAGAACGUAGCGAAAUGCGAUAAGUAGUGUGAAUUGCAGAAUUCAGUGAAUCAUCGAAUCUUUGAACGCACAUUGCGCCCGCCAGCAUUCUGGCGGGCAUGCCUGUUCGAGCGUCAUUUCAACCCUCGACCUCCCUUUGGGGAAGUCGGCGUUGGGGACCGGCAGCACACCGCCGGCCCUGAAAUGGAGUGGCGGCCCGUCCGCGGCGACCUCUGCGUAGUAAACCAACUCGCACCGGAACCCCGACGUGGCCACGCCGUAAAACACCCAACUUCUGAACGUUGACCUCGAAUCAGGUAGGACUACCCGCUGAACUUAAGCAUAUCAUAAGCGGAGGA